rnacentral:rRNA from 1 species
CCUACGGGAGGCAGCAGUGGGGAAUAUUGCACAAUGGGCGAAAGCCUGAUGCAGCGACGCCGCGUGAGGGAUGACGGCCUUCGGGUUGUAAACCUCUUUCAGCAGGGAAGAAGCGAAAGUGACGGUACCUGCAGAAGAAGCGCCGGCUAACUACGUGCCAGCAGCCGCGGUAAUACGUAGGGCGCAAGCGUUGUCCGGAAUUAUUGGGCGUAAAGAGCUCGUAGGCGGCUUGUUGCGUCGGUUGUGAAAGCCCGGGGCUUAACCCCGGGUCUGCAGUCGAUACGGGCAGGCUAGAGUGUGGUAGGGGAGAUCGGAAUUCCUGGUGUAGCGGUGAAAUGCGCAGAUAUCAGGAGGAACACCGGUGGCGAAGGCGGAUCUCUGGGCCAUUACUGACGCUGAGGAGCGAAAGCGUGGGGAGCGAACAGGAUUAGAUACCCUGGUAGUCCACGCCGUAAACGUUGGGAACUAGGUGUUGGCGACAUUCCACGUCGUCGGUGCCGCAGCUAACGCAUUAAGUUCCCCGCCUGGGGAGUACGGCCGCAAGGCUAAAACUCAAAGAUAGUAGCGNGNGAGNGCGACGACGACGACGAGGAGGAG